rnacentral:rRNA from 1 species
GACCCCAGGUCAGGUGGGAUCACCCGCUGAGUUUAAGCAUAUC